AUCUGGGAAGAAGAGCAUGCUUGCGAGCGUGUGUGACGGUACCAGAGGAAUCAGCACCGGCUAACUCCGUGCCAGCAGCCGCGGUAAUACGGAGGGUGCAAGCGUUGUCCGGAUUUAUUGGGUUUAAAGGGUGCGUAGGUGGCCUGAUAAGUCAGCUUUGAAAGUGGCUUGCUUAACAAGACAGGGUGGGUUGAUACUGUCAGGCUUGAAUGAUGGUGAGGUUACUGGAACGGGUCGUGUAGCG
rnacentral:rRNA from 1 species